GGUCGUGUGGCCCAGUGGUUAAGGCAUGUGCUUUACAAGCAAUUCGCAAGUUCGCACAGGAUCGCAGGUUCGAUCCCUGCCACGAUCA